rnacentral:snRNA from 1 species
GGAUGUGAGGGUGAUCUGGCUGCAACAUCUGUCACCCCAUUGAUCACCAGGGUUGAUUCAGCUGAUCUGCCUGAUCUCUCCUUCCUCCCUCAUCUCUCCAUGUGCAUCCCUCCCAAAACUGCACAUUCAGUUGCAGAGGAUGACUACCACCAUAGAGGAGGACCGUUCUUUGGUCAAGGGUAUACAAGUAGCUUCGCUCCCCUGCUAGAACUUCCAAACAAGCUCUCAAGGUCCUAGUAAAUAUAAAAAUUGUAUUUCGAAAAUAUUGGAGGAAUAAAAAUGUGACUUUAGGAAGUAAUAGAUCAAUGAACCAAAGAAAGUACAAUAUAGAAGCUAUUGUAU